rfam:Rattus norvegicus chromosome 16, whole genome shotgun sequence.
GGGGAUUUGGCUUAGUGGUAGAGCGCUUGCCUAGCAAGCACAAGACUCUGGGUUCAGUCCCCAGCUCCG